UGCAUUAUGAUCUCAGGACAGGU
rnacentral:piRNA from 1 species